AGAGCUGACUAGCAGUGGGGAAGGAUCUCUUUUUGGACAUCCCUCCUUUUGGAGUUUUCCAGCAAGCCCAGGACAAGGCUUUCCUGUGGGCCUCCUUCAACUAUUGGAAGGUUUCUCUAAGGAACUCCCGGAACCUCUUCUUCUACAGGCUGAAAAGCCCCAGCUCUCUCAGCCUGUCCUCAUAGGGAGACAGAAGUCCAGGCCACAGAAAGGAUAGAAGCCUCAGCUUUCAUCUACCUGGAUAACAUAUGUUGCCAUUGAACUCAGGGUGACUAUUGCUACCUUUUCUCUCAUCAAUUGCCAGAGUGUAGGGAGUAGCGAUGUGUUAAAAAAAAGACUACUGGAGAGAUCUUGAUUAUUCUUUACCCUUCAGUGGGAUCUACUUGUAGGAGGAGGUAUGGAUAUUUGCAUAUGCUCAGAAAUUUGAAAAGCUUUUGGAUUUCUUUUAUUGAGAGUCCACACAACAAUUAAAAUAUGAAAAUAGGAAGUGUUCCUGUGCUUUCUCCAAUUUGUACCCAUGCACAAGAAUUAACAAGACACUUUCCAAUCUUGACCUGUGAUGAGCUGACAAAAUUUGGCUGACUUCAUUAGGAGCUGCUUAUCCAGCAGGAAAAACUGUUCUCAACCUGUGCAACACCAGGCAAGUAAAAGUUAUCCAGAACUUUCCAAUGUUGUUGGUAACUUCUG